rnacentral:lncRNA from 1 species
AAAAAUUCAAUAUCCCUCAAAGCGGCCCUCUCUCUUGUCCGGACAAAAGCUCUCAAAGUGAAAGAAGAGCACAAAACUCUCUCUAGAAUCUGCCCUCCCUCUUUACAAAUCAGCUCUUCUCAGCUAAAAUUUCACUCAAAUCAAAGUCCCUCAAAUCAAAAUAUGAAUCUCAUUUGUCAGGUAUGUUCAAAUCCCUAAUAUUUCGUUUUUUUUGGGAAGAAGUUGCUUUGCUUUAAUCAAUCGAUUUUGUGGAGGACGAAUCAAAGAAACGAUUUCUGUUCCUAAUCUAUUUUGUGCAUCCUUUUCUUCUUAUUUGUUACUAUCUCAUAUCAAACUAAAACCCCAUAAAGAUUUAUAUAAAAUAUAUGUACAUUUGGGUAUUUUUUUAUAAUAAUUCUGUAAGACAAAAUUUUCGACAUGCAGUUAGGAAUAAUUAUUUUUUCAGCAAUUUCACAAUUGUAUUCUCGGAUUUCAUCUCGAAUUUCUCUUAUCCGAUUGAUAAUCUAUAGGAAUACAAAAAGAAUUACACAGAAAGAAUCAUUUGAAGCGUAUUUGGUGUUGCUAUUGUCGAUUCUCGGUGUUAACAGAAUCUCGGCUAUCUCUUUUCCUGGGUAAGCUAAAACCUUCUUCUCGAAAAACCUUUUACAUGUUGGCAUUCCAUUCUUAUUUUGUUCUUAUAUGAUUAUUAGAUGCUAAGUAGCAAUACCAUGUCGUGUAAAACUUAAUGCUGCAAAAUUUUUAAUAGGGGGGGAUUGAGUAAUAGUUGUUUGGUUGAUUAUUCAUGCUGUAUUGAGAGCAUAAUUACAUAAAAAUUUGAAGAAAUACAUGUAUUUAGUCUUAUGUUAAAAGUGACCAUUAUUCAUGUUUUGCUUUCAUAGAAAAUCCAAAUAUUAUAGUGAGUAAUCAGGAAAAAGAAAAAAGAAAAUUACUGGUUGCUCCUGGUGAUCAAUUCUACAUCAAAGAUUUCAAUACCAAAAAGGUUUCUUUCAGGAGCUGUUGAUAUUGCUUUUGCUUGCAUGUCAAAUAGACACCAUUUUCCACUUAUUUGCUGAGUAAAAUAUAUGCAAUUGAACCUACAUCCUAGCUUACUGGCAUUAAUCCGCAUACAGCAUUUUUCCUCCAUAAAAAAUGUUCUAUGCUCGAGGCUUUACGACUUAACUCACCACAGCUUUGGAAUAUCAAGACUGUAAACUUCAGCAUCAUCCAAUUUUUUAAUGGAUCUUUUAGAGAUCAAGAAAUUCAUUAAAUUCUUUUUUAUGUGGUACUGUAUAAAUUCUUUUUAUGAAACUGUCACUUGAAUCACAUACACAAGUGCUCUCUGAACCCGCUGCCAUUGGAGCACUCUCUGAUACGUGUUCUAGAAUUCUCCAAUUCUUAUUUUCCUUGUUAAUCAAAGGGUGUGUAGAAGUGGACAAGAGGAUGCAUGAACAAUUUGAUAGUUUCAUGACCAGAAUGCAACAGGUACUUGUUCUGCUCCUUCUUAACAAUUCUUCUUCCUUCUCGGGAUUUCGUCUUCCUUCCUUCUAGACAAUUCUUCUUUAUUGAUAAUUCUUUGUCUCUUGCCCUCUAUCUUCUUUUCAACUUCUCCUUCUUUAACUUUCAUCCUCGAUAAUAGGCUAUUGGGCUAUUUUUGUUUAUGUGAAAUCUGGAUUUUUCUAUGACAUAUGUAGUGUUUGAAAAAAAUGCCCUGGGAGAAAUCUCUGGAGUUACAUGACAAAUCAUUAAAAAUUUAUAAUUUGUUAUAAUUAACUUAGUCAAUACAGCAGAUUAGUCCCUUUUGUUUUCUUCUUUUGCAAAGAUGAGAAGACUUCUGUGCUAGUUUAGCUAGUGUUCGAAUUUCUUUGAUGGAAUUUUGAAUUUCUAUGCAAGUUUAGCUAGUCUUCUAAAAGUGAAAUUGAUCAUGCUUCCAGGCCUAUAUGUUUUCUGCCAUUUUAAUUCUGCCAUGUCCUAUUGUUGUUUGGGAAUGAUAGAAUCACGUUAUCGUUAAUAAUUUACUUAGUAUUCUAAGCAAACCUUAAAUAACCACUACAACCGCAGACAACCUGUGUGGUCGAACGGUACAUAUUUGGUGUCUUUUCAUACGUUGACUUGUGACCUGCUUGUAUUCAUUAUUUAUGGUGGACCAGUACUUUGCUUAUAUCUCUGUCGCAUGCAAUGGUUUAUGUUCAUCAUGAAUGCUUUGGAAUGUAAAGUCUCCUGGAGAAUGUCGAAAGGAUAUCCCCUGGUGUUUUCUUUGUAUUAAGGCCAUUUGUCUAGUUUUAGAUUAACACAAGUCAUUCCCAUUCCUAAGUAGGACCGGCUAUUCUUUUUUUCCCAAAGAUGUCUUUGUUUUCUCAUGUGGAAGCAACUACUUCGGUUUCAUUAAAAUAAUAAGCAUUUCAAUUAACAAGGAAUUCUCUCUUUUCUUUUCAUUUCUUGGUGUCACCUAAAACUUUCAUAAUUGUCAUCAUAUUCAUCUUGUAGCUAAUAUCAACUGACUAGAUUAUUGUGUCUCCAGUUUUCAAUUUAGCCGCAUUUUUCCUAAGGUAGUCCACAAGAUAACAUUUUCCUACUUUGCCAUAUCCUUUCUUCACAACAUAUCAUGUCGUUGUAAGCUUCUUUUUAUUAGCUAAUGUAGUGUUAACUGAUCAACUGAAAACCUUAAUAUAGUAUAACUAGAUUUGAAAGAAAAUAGGUUAGUUACUUAUACCUUUAAGCUAAGGAUUAAGCUUGCUUUUGGAAAGGUUGUGUUAUACAUAGUUGUAAAAAGUAAGAAACAUGCCUUUAUCACUUUAUUUCCAACUUGACCAUAGUGAAUCCAAUAUAUCUAACUCUUCCUUCCACUAAUUACUGAUAAUAUUCUCUUAUCAGCUAUCAUCAGUGUAUCACACACAGGCACAAAAAAUAUGUUGGUAGAGACUACAGUUCAAAGGAAACUUCAUGGCAUUUGUAUUAGAAUUAGUAUACUUCUGGGUCCUAAAGACUAACUUUUUCAUCUGCUUAAAGGGAGAGCAGGCCAUGUAGAUAUAGCCUGUGACUCUAAGCUGAUCAAGCUUACAUAGGCUUGACUAACCUUCUGGUAAAUAAUUUAUGUCUAAAUUCGUUAUUUCUUUCCUUUAGCCCUGCACUAGCUAUUGUUUCAAUAUUUUUGUUUACGAAUUUGUUCUUAGGUAACAUUUAAAUGAUCAAACUACUGUUCAGGUCUAAAUUCAGUUCUUUUUGUAAAAAUUUUCGCCUCAGGUCCUCUGUUAUCUCUGAACAUUCUAUGGGUUAAAUUAUGUAUAUUGGUUGGUCCUUUGCUACUACAAAUCAUACCAUCCAAGGAUGAUAACGAAUUGGCUUGACAUCUUGGGGUACAAAGUGAAUAAGGAAGAUAACAAUUUAAUUCUUUUUUUUACUUAGCUAUUCUUUAUGUAGAAUAAUUUCUACCAAAAUUCGUCUAAGAGUCUACAUAUAAGUGCUAAAAUCAUAAAGCUAGAAUGUCAAAUAUGAUCCUGAGAAAUAUUCCUUAUUUUCUGGGCUCUUUGAUGAGUUUUUAUUGCAAGUGUUCUAAACCUUCUCAUCUUUUCUGUUCUAUUGCUGCUGCUCAUGCAAGAAGAGUUCGUUUCUUGGACUCUCUCUCAGUCCUUUAAAUCACAGUGAAACAAAGAAGAAGAUGCUCCCAAAUUGGCUUGCUCAUGUCUUAUGACUAGGAUUAAUUGAAGUUGGUCUAACUUUUUGCUAUACAUAGAUGUCAUGUAUAACUUUAGAGUUCAUCUAAAGUUCUUUCUUAAAUGAUAUUUGCUCGCUAUCCUAUUUUCUCAUUUAUUGUGGUGCAACGUAGUUCUCCCUUUUAUGACUUUGAUCUACUAAUAGUGAAGCCAUUGUUCCUAGAAAUUGAAAUAGGUAACUCUAUUUUAUUAGAUCACGAUGUUAUAUACAGUUGUCCCCUUGCCCAACAAGAAAGAUGGACAAAAAAAGACUCUACUGGAAAAUAUAGUCAACAUAUCAGAAUGUUACAUGAUGGUUCUACCUUUUCAUUCUGAUAAUUUGUAUUACCCAAUGGUAUGUUUUUUUUUCUCAGUUUUCUCUUUUUUUUUAUGGAGCCUAUUAAUAUUAUUAUUAUUAUUAUUUUUUCAUUAGAUAUUUUCUGAAGUUAAUUGUUACUCAUAAGUGUACAUAUAGGUUUUUGAAAUACUCAAUUUUCUUUCUUAGAAAAGUAUUGCUUUCAACCAGUAGUUUGCCAAUUUUCAUACCCACUGAUACUAUUGUGAAAGUAUGCUCUUCUUUUUGAAGUAUAUCUAACUGCUUAGCUAUCCUGGAUAAUGUCUAACAAUUACUAUUGAGGAGCAAAAAAUUUGUGCAACAUUGUCUGAAAAGUGAAUAUUUGUAUGAUUAAGUGAAUAAUCAAUAGAGAAAGCUUGAAUUCUCUAUAUUUACCAUCAGUUGAUAUGUGCUGAUCGGUUUUAAAUAGUUUGGGCAGCUACACAUAAAAUAAAGUAAUUUAUUCAUAAUUGUUAUUGUGAAUUUCUUAAAAUAUAUUGAUGAUUUUGAAAAAAAAUUCAUGAAUUUGUUUUGUAGGUAGUAACCAAUCUGUCCAAUGUGUGCAAAAGAUAAUAAUGUGCCCCUUGGUAUGAAAUAGUAAAACAGGAGCCACACUUGGAGAGCAGCCAAUGUAUGAGCGUUUGUUAUUGCAUUCUGUGGCCAUAUUGUUCAAGAUGACAUGGUACUAGUCAAGGAGAAGCUUGAAGACAUUUUACUUUUGCUGCGUCUUUGUUUUUUUUUUCCUGGGUAUUUCAUGUGUAUGGACAAUUCCUAUAUGUUCUGAAUUUUAAUAAAAAGUUGAUCUUUUUGCAUUAAUGGUGUUUCUUCUUACAUUAAUGAGUUGCUCUAAUA